UACGGGGGGGGCAAGCGUUGCUCGGAAUUAUUGGGCGUAAAGGGCAGGUAGGUGGUUUGGUAAGUCUAUUGUGAAAGCUCCCGGCUUAACUGGGAGAGGCCAAUGGAUACUACCAGGCUUGAAUAUAGGAGAGGUUACUGGAAUUCCCGGUGUAGCGGUGAAAUGCGCAGAUAUCGGGAGGAACACCAAUGGCGAAAGCAGGUAACUGGACUAUUACUGACACUCAACUGCGAAAGCUAGGGGAGCAAACAGG
rnacentral:rRNA from 1 species